UGACGUUCCACUCUUCCUCCCACACAUUUUACCCAGCACAGAGACAGGACGAACUGCCUCCGGGAUGCGGAAACCAGCGAUUAUAGAGCCUGGGAGAUGGUGUCGGGAGAGGGAGGUAGUGAGAGCCGAAGCCACAGGGCCAGAUAUCGAGGAGAGAAAAAACAUGCUACAGAGAAAUAUGAAAUAGAAAAUAAAUACAAAUGCAAGCUGUUCUGCUAGUUUUAUAACCGCGACACACUGGUGCUGAGACAAAACAUCACAAAGUUUCGAAGGUGGUGGUGUUCCUUUAGCACGGCUAAGUCUUCGGAAUUCUGACUGCAGUCCUUCUUUAGGGGGGCAUCACUGGGUCCUUGGCACAGUCCACGCUUUGAACCGGAUUUGAACGGGAGAACCACCACGUGGUCCAGGUGCUAGCAGCGGAAGUGGGUGCGUUGGUGGGUCGCGUGACCCCAGAAGCUCCUCCCCUCGGUGCCGUAGGGUCCUCCAGGUCGUACUUCUCCAGCGCCUGAGUGAUGUGCCCCUAGAGUCUGGAGGCACGUCCGGCUAUUUGCGCCUCUUUGAUCCUCGCCUUCCAGUGGCACGUCGCCCAGACUGCCCUGGCUUGGCUGGCCCUGGCCUCUUCCCGCAGCCCGUCACUGGUGCGGGAAUAGGUGAUCCAGGCAGGGGGGUGACCGUCCCCUUCCAGUGUGAAAAAAUGCACCCAAACUCCGCCCCCCUUUGCGCGUCUCACAGCACGCACACGCAAGCAAGGACUGGAGUUGGGGAUUCUUGAAAGAAGUGAAGCCUCCCAGCGUGCUGGAGGGGAACAACCUUCAGAGGGGGCGCACAAGCCAAGGAGUAACUGCCCCGCCGCGCCCGGGAGCCUGGCUUGGACUGGAGCGCGUGUAUCAGGAGCCAGGGGCUCCUUAAAGGGCACCACACACACUAGCCCCUUCCUCUGGGAGCCAGGUCACUAUGGGACAACUCUGAUUGAGGUCGUAUGUGCUCUAGGACUCCCCAUGGCAUUUCCUGAGGCUUCGAUACUUUUGACUGCUUGUCUGGACUAUUCUUGGGCUGAGCACAUAACAACUGAAUGCUUCUUUAAAAUUAUUUAAUCUCUAAAGUUUCCCAAGAGAAGGAAAAAGAAGAAGAGAAAAGGAAAGAAGAGGAAAGGGAAG